rnacentral:rRNA from 1 species
GACGAACCGUGCUAACGUUGUUCGGCAUCAUUGGGCUUAAAGGGCGCGUAGGCGGGUCAGCAAGUCAGGGGUGAAAUCCCACGGCUCAACCGUGGAAGAGCCUGUGAUACUGCUGAUCUUGAGGGAGGUAGGGGCGUGCGGAACUUCCGGUGGAGCGGUGAAAUGCGUAGAUAUCGGAAGGAACACCGGUGGCGAAAGCGGCGCGCUGGACCUCUUCUGACGCUGAGGCGCGAAAGCCAGGGGAGCAAACGGG